rnacentral:rRNA from 1 species
UGGGGAAUAUUGGACAAUGGGCGAAAGCCUGAUCCAGCCAUGCCGCGUGUGUGAAGAAGGUCUUCGGAUUGUAAAGCACUUUAAGUUGGGAGGAAGGGCAGUAAGCGAAUACCUUGCUGUUUUGACGUUACCGACAGAAUAAGCACCGGCUAACUCUGUGCCAGCAGCCGCGGUAAUACAGAGGGUGCAAGCGUUAAUCGGAAUUACUGGGCGUAAAGCGCGCGUAGGUGGUUCGUUAAGUUGAAUGUGAAAGCCCCGGGCUCAACCUGGGAACUUCAUCCCAAACUGGCGAGCUAGAGUAGGGCAGAGGGUGGUGGAAUUUCCUGUGUAGCGGUGAACUGCGUAGAUAUAGGAAGGAACACCAGUGGCGAAGGCGACCACCUGGGCUCAUACUGACACUGAGGUGCGAAAGCGUGGGGAGCAAACAGG